CUGAAUCUUUUGGACAUGUCAUAUGCAGAGUCUUAUGCCUUCUGGUCCACCAGUUGUUCGAACCUCAUGGUUGAGUUGCUGCGGUUUGUUUGAUGUGAUGGCAGGAUCUGAAAGAUAAUUUCAGAAGAUAAGCAGAAAAGCAUAAAUCAGCAAACAAUGGACAGCAGAAAAGCUUAAAGAACAGCCAACAAGACAGUAUUCAUUGGGUCGUAUAUUCUUCUCUGUACAUUCAAGCACUAAUGUCUGUCUUUGCAACAUAAAUUUCUUGUGUUCAUGUUUUGGAAUUUUUAGAUUCAUGAGAACAGAACACAGUUCCUACUUUCCUACUCUUUUUCGUAUAUUCAACAGCACAUUAAUGGGCUUACCAGAUACGGCCUUUUUGAGACGAAAGAAUGGGCCUUAUGAGUCCGUUAGCUGUUUACUUUAGGACAGCGACAUUUAACGAAGCCGCUGACAUUUUAUGUUUCUCAGAUCUGUCAGUGUCGGUGAUCGACGCGGCGGCAGAGAGAAUAAAUAAAUAAAAUCUUCGAAAACACGAAAAAUUAAUUGUUUAUUUAAAAAAGCUUCUUUUUUCUUUUUUUGACAACGGGAUUUUUGGAGUUUUUAAGGCCGUAAGCUUGCUCACACGAAUCAAACCCAACUAGCUUCUUUUACUAGAUCCGAUCCCGAAAUAUCCUACUUUCCUUGUUCACAAAGUUGCAAUCUUUGAGGAUCUUAGGCUCAACCCAUUACUUCCUCUGGUGAAUGUGAGUAAGGUUGCAUUGGCUCGAGGAACAUGGCGAUGGGGAAGUAUUCUCGUGU